GCCUGGGUGGCGGAACUGGUAGACGCAAGGGACUUAAAAUCCCUCGGUGGCGACACCGUGCCGGUUCGAGUCCGGCCCUAGGCACCA
rnacentral:tRNA from 1 species